CACACACACACACACACACACACACACACGAGAAAUGGCAGAUCUUAAAGCUCUGGUUUUCCUAUUGCUGAAAAGCACCUGAACAGGCAGUGUGAGAGUAUCUGACUGAACCAGAAGUCACCCUGGUAUGUGCGUGUGUGCAUGUACAUGUGAGCCCACUUUAGGGUCUGAGGACUAGUUGACAGUUCAGGUUUAGGUUGAAAGAUUCCUCCUCCUGUUUCAAGAGUUAGACCUCAAUCUCUUUGACAAGUUCAAUUGGCUUUAGGAAGAGCUACCUCAGUGCUGUGGUGCAUGCGUUACUUGUCAAAUAAGUCAUUAAAGUUACAACUAUGUAAAACCACAAUUCAACACUAAGCUGACCAGUCAAAAGUUGAUGUUAUUUACAGAUGGUCAGGAAAUAUCCCCCCCCCCACCAUGGUGACAUCAAGUAUCUGUGACUAUAAGCUGAAUGCAAGAAUGUGCAUCAGGGAGAUUGCCAUCACUGGAUCCGUUUGUGUGUUUUCUGGAGUGUCAUUUUUGCAGUCUUUGUUUAACUGAGAGGCUUGUGUGAGAUUCUCCUGUAGUUCACUACAUUUGAAUUAAGUACAUAAGGUGACUGCAUUGAAGUGACAUGACUGCAUUGAAGAAACAAGGCACAAUUAAAAAGAUACAUAAACAACAACAUCAUCAUGAACUGAGGGAGGAGGAAGAGGAAAGGAGAAACAACACUGUGAACUUCUCCCCCCCAGAUCCUCAAAGAGUUUGUGAAAACAGCACACUUACAAGGAACAUUUGGCAUAAUAUUAGCAGUGCCCCAAAAACAUUUAUGUCCUUAUGUUCAGUGACCCCCAAACCGCUUGUCUUUUUGUUUUUGUUUUUUAGGGGACAUUAUUCCCUCAAGUGAUCACAAAAUAAAGCAACAUCACAAUAAUCUUUUUUGCAGAAGGAAAUUCAUUGCUCAAAAACAUUUCUCAUUGGCCAAAGUUUAAAAUGGUCUUAACUAAUCUCCUUUGCUUUCACUCAGAAUCCUCAGUAAAUAUAUAACCCAUAGAUUGUCAAACACAUACUAAGAAGUCAAUGAAAAGCAACAGUCGUGUUUGUGGGUGACGUCAACGUUACUUUAAAAAUCUCCUUUUUGAUGUUGUAUUCAGGCACAAUGACCGUAAUUAUUCUCCCCACUAAAAUAGGCCAAUUGUAUAAUUUUUGCUCCCAUUGCUGUAAGCACACAAGACAGGUAACUGCUGAUAAGUGGCAUGGCUUUCUCUGUUGUUAGCAACCAAGUUCAUGUUCUUUGGCAUGACAGGUGGUGCAGGCCGUGUGUUGUGUAAAGGUGUAUCUGUGUUUACGGAGGAAAGGGACAUGCAGCUGUUUAGAUCCUGCUCAACUCAGAAUGUUCAACAAGUAAUGUGUCUCAAGAUAACAGACG